AUUGAACGCUGGCGGCAUGCCUAACACAUGCAAGUCGAGCGGACGAACGGAGCUCGCGCUUGUCUUCAGCGGCGGACGGGUGAGUAAUGCAUACGAAUAUGCCCGGUCGUUGGGGAUAACAUCCCGUAAGGAGCGCUAAUACCGCAUACGUCCUGAGGGUGAAAGUGGGGGAUCUUUAGACCUCGCGCGAUUUGAUGUGCCUAAGUCGGAUUAGCUAGUUGGUGGGGUAAAGGCCUACCAAGGCGACGAUCCGUAACUGGUCUGAGAGGAUGAUCAGCCACACUGGAACUGAGACACGGUCCAGACUCCUACGGGAGGCAGCAGUGGGGAAUAUUGCACAAUGGGCGAAAGCCUGAUGCAGCCAUGCCGCGUGAGUGAAGAAGGUCUUCGGAUUGUAAAGCUCUGUAAGUAGGGAGGAAGGGAUGUGUGUUAAAAUAUUGCCGUCUUGACGGUACCUAAAGAAAAAGCACCGGCUAACUACGUG
rnacentral:rRNA from 1 species